rnacentral:rRNA from 1 species
GUCCACGCUGUAAACGAUGGGCACUAGGUGUUCGGGGUAUUGACCCCCUGAGUGCCGCAGCUAACGCAUUAAGUGCCCCGCCUGGGGACUACGGCCGCAAGGUUAAAACUCAAAGGAAUUGACGGGGCCCGCACAAGCGGUGGAGCAUGUGGUUCAAUUCGACGCAACGCGAAGAACCUUACCUGGGCUAGACAACGUCGGACAGCUCUAGAAAUAGAGUCUUCUCGCAAGAGACCGGCGGUUCAGGUGCUGCAUGGCUGUCGU